GAUGAACGCUGGCGGCGUGCCUAAUACAUGCAAGUCGAGCGAACAGAUGAGGAGCUUGCUCCUCUGACGUUAGCGGCGGACGGGUGAGUAACACGUGGAUAACCUACCUAUAAGACUGGGAUAACUUCGGGAAACCGGAGCUAAUACCGGAUAAUAUAUUGAACCGCAUGGUUCAAUAGUGAAAGACGGUUUUGCUGUCACUUAUAGAUGGAUCCGCGCCGCAUUAGCUAGUUGGUAAGGUAACGGCUUACCAAGGCAACGAUGCGUAGCCGACCUGAGAGGGUGAUCGGCCACACUGGAACUGAGACACGGUCCAGACUCCUACGGGAGGCAGCAGUAGGGAAUCUUCCGCAAUGGGCGAAAGCUUGACGGAGCAACGCCGCGUAAGUGAUGAAGGUCUUCGGAUCGUAAAACGCUGUUAUUAGGGAAGAACAAAUGUGUAAGUAACUAUGCACGUCUUGACGGUACCUAAUCAGAAAGCCACGGCUAACUACGU
rnacentral:rRNA from 1 species